AAGCAUAUCAAUAAGCGGAGGAAAAGAAACCAACAGGGAUUGCCCUAGUAACGGCGAGUGAAGCGGCAACAGCUCAAAUUUGAAAUCUGGCUUUCGGGUCCGAAUUGUAAUUUGCAGAGGAUGCUUUUGGCGAGGUGCCUUCCGAGUUCCCUGGAACGGGACGCCUUAGAGGGUGAGAGCCCCGUACGGUUGGACACUAAGCCUCUGUAAAGCUCCUUCGACGAGUCGAGUAGUUUGGGAAUGCUGCUCUAAAUGGGAGGUAAAUUUCUUCUAAAGCUAAAUACCGGCCAGAGACCGAUAGCGCACAAGUAGAGUGAUCGAAAGAUGAAAAGCACUUUGAAAAGAGGGUUAAAUAGCACGUGAAAUUGUUGAAAGGGAAGCGUUUACGGCCAGACCUUUUCCUAGCGGAUCAUCUGGUGUUCUCACCGGUGCACUUCGCUAGGUUUAGGCCAGCAUCGGCUUCUGUAGAGGGAUAAAAGCAGUGGGAAAGUAGCUCUCUCGGGAGUGUUAUAGCCCUAAGCAUAAUACCUUUACGGGGGCCGAGGACCGCGCUUUUGCAAGGAUGCUGGCGUAAUGGUCGUCAACGACCCGUCUUGAAACACGGACCAAGGAGUCGAACAUUUGUGCGAGUGUUUGGGUGUUAAACCCUCACGCGUAAUGAAAGUGAACGGAGGUGAGAGCCCUUUACGGGGUGCAUCAUCGACCGAUCCUGAUGUCUUCGGAUGGAUUUGAGUAGGAGCAUUAAUGUUCGGACCCGAAAGAUGGUGAACUAUGCGUGGAUAGGGUGAAGCCAGAGGAAACUCUGGUGGAGGCUCGCAGCGGUUCUGACGUGCAAAUCGAUCGUCAAAUCUGCGCAUGGGGGCGAAAGACUUAUCGAACCAUCUAGUAGCUGGUUACCGCCGAAGUUCC
rnacentral:rRNA from 1 species